UACGUAGGGUGCAAGCGUUGUCCGGAAUUAUUGGGCGUAAAGAGCUUGUAGGCGGUUUUUCGCGUCUGCUGUGAAAUUUCGGGGCUCAACCCCGAACUUGCAGUGGGUACGGGCAGACUAGAGUGUGGUAGGGGAGACUGGAAUUCCUGGUGUAGCGGUGAAAUGCGCAGAUAUCAGGAGGAACACCGAUGGCGAAGGCAGGUCUCUGGGCCAUAACUGACGCUGAGAAGCGAAAGCAUGGGGAGCGAACAGG
rnacentral:rRNA from 1 species